rnacentral:rRNA from 1 species
AACCUCAGGAACUGAGACUAAUACCAAAUAUGACCACAGUCUUACGAAGACAGUGGNAAAUGUUUUUCGCCUAGUGAUGAGUCCAAGNGCAUCAGGUUGUUGGUAAGGUAAUGGCUUACCAAGCCUAUGACGCGUAGCAGGUCUUAGCGGAUGAUCUGCCACAUGGGGACUGAGAUACGGCCCUGACUCCUACGGGAGGCAGCAGUGAGGAAUAUUGGACAAUGGACGAAAGUCUGAUCCAGCGAUGCCGCGUGAAGGAUGAAGGCCCUAGGGUUGUAAACUUCUGUCAGNAGGGAAGAUAAUGACGGUACCUGCAGAGNAA